GACGAACGCUGGCGGCGUGCUUAACACAUGCAAGUCGAACGGAAAGGCCCUGCUUUUGUGGGGUGCUCGAGUGGCGAACGGGUGAGUAACACGUGAGUAACCUGCCCUUGACUUUGGGAUAACUUCAGGAAACUGGGGCUAAUACCGGAUAGGAGCUCCUGCUGCAUGGUGGGGGUUGGAAAGUUUCGGCGGUUGGGGAUGGACUCGCGGCUUAUCAGCUUGUUGGUGGGGUAGUGGCUUACCAAGGCUUUGACGGGUAGCCGGCCUGAGAGGGUGACCGGCCACAUUGGGACUGCGAUACGGCCCAGACUCCUACGGGAGGCAGCAGUGGGGAAUAUUGCACAAUGGGCGGAAGCCUGAUGCAGAAACGCCGCGUGCGGGAUGACGGCCUUCGGGUUGAAAACCGCUUUCGCCUGUGACGAAGCGUGAGUGACGGUAAUGGGUAAAGAAGCACCGGCUAACUACGUG
rnacentral:rRNA from 1 species